GGAAGGGUGGCUCAGUGGUAGAGCGCUACCAGCCAAGGGCUCCGCGUGGUUCGACUCCCGCCCCUUCCA
rnacentral:tRNA from 5 species